rnacentral:rRNA from 1 species
UACUCCUACGGGAGGCAGCAGUGAGGAAUAUUGGUCAAUGGCCGAGAGCCUGAACCAGCCAAGUAGCGUGAAGGAUGACGGCCCUACGGGUUGUAAACUUCUUUUAUAAGGGAAUAAAGGGCGCCACGUCGUGGUGUUUUGCAUGUACCUUAUGAAUAAGCAUCGGCUAACUCCGUGCCAGCGAGCCGCGGUAAU